rnacentral:tRNA from 1 species
GAGGGUAUAGCUCAGUGGUAGAGUGUGUGCUUAGCAUGCACGAGGUCCUGGGUUCAAUCCGCAGUCCCUCCA